rnacentral:lncRNA from 1 species
GUCACAUGAUGGACAUGAUAUAAUGAAACAACAUUGUGGAGAGGAAAGCAUUAGGGGAGCCCACGGCUACAAAAACAAGUGAGUGAGAAGAGGUGGGAGGAAGAGAAACUACGCCACCUCCCCUGCAGCCGAGUGCACGCAGCAGCCUGGCGUGACAAGUGGGCGACGCCGGGGGGCAGGGAGCCGGGGUCCUUGGCCCUGGCCGGGGACCCCACCGCCCACCGCGCGGAGGACAACUUUUAGCCGGCAGCCCAGACCAGCGCGGCACCUGUCUCCGGAGUCUCCACCGCUCCUCCCGAUUCAUCCCAGGGAAAUUCUCAAGAAUACGCUCUACAAAUCUACGUGCGCAUCAUUUUCACCUCGCGUCGCGCCCGGGAGGAAGGAACGAGGCAAGGAGCUAAAGCAGCGUGCGUUCAGCCCUGGGGCAUUUUAUUAAUGCUUUUACGAGUUAGAAGAGUUGGGAUAAUUUGCCAUCUGGAGUUUCUCUGCCUUGCUGAUCUGAGCUCAGACCUGCCAAUUUACCAGAGAUAAUUGAUAACACCCUGUAACAGCUGAGAGGAAAAUGGAAGAAACGGAGAUACUUUUAGUGAAGCAGAAUAAACCACUGAACAGAUGGAGUCUCACUCUGUUGCCCAGACUGGAAUGCAGUGGUGUGAUCUCAACUGACUGCAACCUCCGUAUCCUGGGUUCAAGCAACUCUCCUGCUGCAGCCACGAAAAAUGAGGAAGCUGUGAGUACCAGUGGAAGGAACGAGCCAGGAAGAGGGACUGGAACCAUCUCAGAAGCCAUGCCCCUCAGGCUGGAACUUGCCCUGUCUCCUCGCAGAUGAGCUACCUCUUGUGUUUAAGAAUUAAAGGAAGAUGAGCUAGGAAUCAAGAAAUACGCAGAACUGAUUCCUGUCACUGGCGCCACCCUGCCACUUGCCCAGAGCUGUGGUAUAAAUUUUUUUAAUAGGCUGAAAUAAAAAUAUGAAUAGCAUUUUGGUAUUAAGCAUUAAAUUGAUAAAGGCUAUGAGAUACACCUGCUCUCAACCAUGUUAAUUUUUUAUUAUUGGUAUUAAUAAAUUAUUACUUACUAACAUAUUAACAAGAAUUGCAUUGAGAAACAAAGCAUCCACAGGCCAAAUCUUCUGAAUUUCAAAUGUUUAUAUUAAUGCGUUGUAUUCUAGAAAAGUAGAAUUGUCUUAAGUAGCUUUGUAAUAUAAAGUCAUCUAUCAGCCCAUUACACCUAUUAGAAUGUUUUAACCUUUAUUUCCCACUUUUUUGUUUCUAGACUGAGUGUACUUGGUCUGGUAUUUGUGGCAUAACUUACGGAACACAUAAGAAUGAUACAGAUACUAUUUAAUGAUGACCUAAUACAAGCUUAGAUAGCUAAGGUGAAAGCUUCUAUGGCCUUAACAUUUUCCUCUUGAAGAAUGUAUUUUCUGUAAUAAAAUACAGUGGCUACUUGAAAUCUAUAAACUUAUGUGAGGUCUGGAUAAAUCUGAGCAACUUUCUUCUUUGUGCUCCAGGAACCUACGCACUAUAUAUAUAAAUAAAGCUUAAGUAAACAUCACUGCAA